ensembl:lncRNA
GGUGAAACCAAGAAGAAGAAGAGGCGGAAGCGGGUGCGUGGGACAGCGAGAGGAGAACACGUGCUUGAGAUAAAGAGAGAAAGGCUCGUGAAUUAUCAGAAAUCACUUUUCCUGUCUUUCCUUUUUUAUUUGACUGAAGCUGAGCACUUUUGGUUAAAAAAAAAGAAAAAGGAAAAAAAAAAAACCAUUCCUGCCAUGGAGAACACCACCACAUUGUCCUGCAGAAACAUUUCUGAUGGUGAUGGUUACACUUACAAAGUGCCGUCUUAUAUACCAUCUGCUCUACUGCAGGACGAGGACUGUGAGCAAGAGUGGAUAAAUAAGGCAAGGGAGUUUUUGUCAGAUGGACAUCAUCAUGCAAAUAAAACUGAGCACCCACUGGUUCGUAAUGAAACCAUAAAAAACAUCAAAGUCUCCGAAUGCAUCGAGCUUCGCCAUUCUGUGACCUGUCAUGGAUCGAGUCAAAAGUUUAUACACACUUACCAAGUGAUCAAUGACACCGCCCUGAGUUUUGAGCAGCAAUCCAAUAGCACCAACACCACCAUCAUCUCUGUCGUCGUUCCCCUUAUUCUGAUUGUAGUCCUGAUUGUAGGCCUGCACUACAUAAAAAGGUAAAUCUGCAUCACCCUUACAUAGGCAGAUAAAUGAGGGAAGUUUAAAUAUUUUAACCUGCUGUUGGAUGACAGUAUCAUUAGACGUUGCACUGUGAUGUAGGACAAAAUCAUUCUUUGUGAAGGAGGGGGUUUUAAUGUUAAAAUUCCUUUCCUGCACGUUCAUUGCUGUACGACGCUUGGCUGAAAAUGAUUUUACUGCACACGUGUUUGCUCUGAAUAGAUCCAGUUCGAUCCAAGUUAUUGAUGUACUGUAGACUCUCGUCAGUACACACUGUAAACACAGACUGAUUCAGUUGAGUGAAGCAGACACACAGGGAUCACGGUCCUAAAUAGUUGGAGCUAAAUGGAAUUUUUUUUGUUGUUGCUUUUCAUGGACAGGUACAACAAGAAAAGAGAAGCCGUGUCAAAAGUAGUCAUAUCAAUGAAGAAGCUCAACCAGACCAAGCCAUGGAAUUGGUGAGCACCCAGAGCACUCCAAGAGCAUAUGAAGAUUAAGCUUCUCCCUCCGGUCUGAUUCUGCCUUUUCUAUAAUUGUACUUGUAUAUCUGCUUUUGCACUUUCACUACUCUUUUUUUUUGUUGUUGUUGUUGUUGCAUUUUUAACAUUUUAAAAAUAUUAAAUAGAUAAACAGAGACCUUGGAAUUAUAGGAUUCUUACAAGAUACAAGUGUUUUAAUCAUGCCAAAGCAGACAGAACAAUUUUUAUACUUCACACAUUUUAUUAUACUUUGUAGCAGUAUUUUGGUGUAAAAUAUAUUGUACUUGUAUAUCACUAGACAUACAAAAUAACAUAUUUUAUAACAUCAACUUAUUUUUGCCAAUGAAAGGGAACAUAAAACAUUAUGCUUUCAACUCGAGGUUGCAUAUUGUACUAACUCCAACCAGCAAAAGCCAAAGAAUUGCUCCUAACUUGAAACUGGGGUGGUCUCCUCAACUACCAAUUCCUUUCCUGUUUACAGUGAUUGAUCUUUCACUGUAGAUCAAUCACGAUAUAGAAAUAUCUGCUUUUUAAAUCUAGAUCACUGUCUGUACGAUUUGUGGAGAAAACUAUACAUCACUCAUCACAGCUAGCUGACUUGGUGCAAACUUUGUCGAACAUUCCGAGGUGGAAAAUGACGCCAUUCCAGCCUGAAAAUUAUCAUAAAGUCGAAUGCGUAGUAUAAUUCCAAGGUCUUGAAAUGUAGAUGAGCCAGUAUUAAAAAACACUUUUAGUUUCGUAUUCAUGUUUAAAUGGUAAAAUACUUCUGCACAUUCCUUUUUUAUUAUUUUUUUUAAAGUGAUUUUCAAUAUACUGUACCAAAAUAGACCCCAAAAUUCUCAUGAUUCAAGCUGACUCGUAAGAAGAGUGAAAAGUAAACCGGUAUUUUAUAAAAGAUGUAUUGCUGCAUCAUUAACACUGGCUAUAGGUUAUACAGAAGAGACUGCUAUAACUGAGCUAUUAGUCAAGUUUAAUUCAGUAUUUGAAAAAAAAUCAGUCUGCCCCUUCAUUUUAUUAAAAACACUUUUAUAUUACUGUGAAUUAAAAUGUUGCACAAAACAAUGAAGACCAAAUAACUUUUAUUAAAUCCUAAAGUAAUAUAAAAUACAGUAUUAAUAAUCAAAGAUUGUUAAAUUUGUUUUCUUAUUGUAUGUUAUUUAUCACUUCAUGCUGCCAUUUAAAUAAUGUAUUUGUUUUAUACAGCUGACCACUCUGAAUGCAGCAUUAAAGCAGGGGUGUCAAACAUGCCACCUGUAGCACUUGACCAGCCCUAUAGAGUCAUUUGUAAUCCAACCCAGCAAAUGAAUUUAGGAACCGUAAUAUUUUUAUGGACAUUUAUUUCUUUUUAAUGAAUUGCAGAGUGCACACAAUGUACUUUUCCACUAAAUUGGUCAAUAACCAACUUUUUCUGGCCCAUCAGACUAAGUAUAAUCCAUUAUGUAAGAUGCCCCUGAUUUAAAGCAUUAAUUUGUACACAUGCAAUACCUUUUUUUUUUUUUUCUUAAAAUUUUUAAAAUAUUUCUUUAUCUUAUUUUCUUUAACACUCUCACUUGAUUCUGAAUCUAAAUGUCUAUCAAGCUUUUCUGUGACUGUACAAUAAAAUAUCUGGCCUUGCUGAGUGCCUUUCUUUUAUAUAUGUAGCCUGAACUGGAGAACUCUAUAUCUUGGGUGAAUGUAGCUGUUACUGUAGAAUGAGACAAUGUGAAUAAACAUUUCUCUUUUAAUACCACAGCACUGUUUCAUUCUGAAUUGUGAUUGGCCACAAUGUGUUGAUUGAUUUUUUUUUAAGAGCAGCUCUGGCAGUAGUGCAGCUGCAAAUUGGUUCAUGUCUAGUUUGGUCUCUCAUGGAAAAAUUACAAUAUGAUGCCAUAUUGUUACACCCUUAAACACUGUAUAUGACUUAACGUACCUUGUGUUUCUUUUGCUGUCUGUUUCAGAAAGUUCCUACAAAGCACAUGUCAGAAUGAUAACAUGGUCAGUACUACUGAGUGUCCAAUACAGAAAACAAUGGGAAUUUAAUGGCUACUGGUACAGUGCUGCUAGAAAGUUUGUGAACCCUUUACAGGUUUCUGUAUUUCUGCAUAACUUUUACCAGAAAUGUGAUCACAUCUGGAG